rnacentral:rRNA from 1 species
UGGCGGCCGUAGCGCGGUGGUCCCACCUGACCCCAUGCCGAACUCAGAAGUGAAACGCCGUAGCGCCGAUGGUAGUGUGGGGUCUCCCCAUG